rnacentral:lncRNA from 1 species
GAGCAAAUUUAAUACAGGAUGCAUAACUUAUAGGAUUAUUUCAUAAUACUCACCUAAAAAGUCAAAUGCAGGGCUGGAGAUUUAGCUCAGUGGUUCCGCCACCUGCCUCGAAAGCGCAAGGACCCGAGUUUGAUCCCCAGCACCAAAAAAAAAAAAAAAAAAAAAGUCAAAUGCAGAGUGUAGGAGAUCUGUCCACAUACUAGAGGCUCGAAGAAUCCAGCAGAGGGCCUGAAUCCUACAGCAAUGUCCCGCACAAGUCCAGCCAGAGGCCUAGAACCCAAGGCAAUGUCCUCCAUAAGUUCAGCUGGAGACCUAGAGCCCAAAGCAAUGUCUAAUGCAAAUCCAUAUCAUGGAUCUGCACUGGGAAGGCCCAAAGGUCGGUGGUGGAAGCUAGAAAGUCUAUGCUGGUGGAGUAAAGGCUCUGUGCCACCAGGCUGAGGGAUGUGCACUGGAGCCAGGAAGUGACACUCAAGAUGAAGACCAGAGCUUCCCUAAGGGGAACAGCAGUCAUUCCAGUGAUAGCGAGGACCCAGGCUCCUCUAAUGAUGAGAACUGAGUUGGCAUUAGGAAAACAAGCUGCAGCAAGCUUCUCCAAGAAAAUCAACAGCAUACAAUCCCCACCCCCCAUUCUUCUCUUAUGCUGUUGACAACAAUCCUCAGCACUCCUUAUUACCUCAGCAUUUGGGCAAUUCAAGAUGAAGAAAGUUAUGUGUUUUUUCCUAAUGUUUACACAAGAAAGAUCAUUGCACUAAAUCUUUAAGGAGGCAGGACCAGUGGAACAGUUUAGAAGAUGCAGAAACAACUCCAGACAUACUCAGCCACCUCAUCUUCGACAAAGGAGCCAAACACCUUCACUGGAGGAAAGAUAGCCUCUUUAAUAAAUGGUGCUGGACAGUUUAUAAUAGCUAAUGCUUGGAAACAGCCCAAGUGCCCAUCAACUGAAAACUGGAUAAAGAAGAUGUGGUUUUAAAAAAUGAAAUGGAGCACUACUCAGCCACAAAGAACAACAAACUAGAGACAUUUAUAGCUAAAUGGAUGGAUAUUGAGGCCAUACUCUUAAGUGAAAUAAAUACGACACACGUGUAAAUACUGAAUAGUUUCUCUAGUGUGAAAUAUUGAAAGUGUAAAUAAGGAUUAAAAUGAUUAAAAUGAAUAAUUGAUAACUUGACAUAGAAAGAAAAGGUCCAAAGGGGUAGGGGUGGUGGGAGCGGAAGGGGAAAGGAAAGAAAGGAAAGGAAAAAUAAUGAGAAAAGAAAAAAAUGGAAACAAAGUCUAUGUAAAUAGGGAAGGGUUGAGAGGGUUAAGGAUGCACAGGUAAUGGGGAAAAAAUAAGAACCAAGAUACAUCAUGCACAGG